GGCCUCGUAGCUCAGCGAGUAGAGCGUGCGUUGGACAAAGGCGUAGACGACGUCCAUGUGUGGGUUCGAAUCCCGCCGAAUCUG
rnacentral:tRNA from 1 species